rnacentral:rRNA from 1 species
CGUGAAACUGGGGAUAAUACCAGAUAGAUAAAAGAUACUGGAAUGUUCUUUUAUCCAAAGCUUUUGUGCCUGAGGAUGAGCCUGCGCCCGAUUAGGUAGUUGGUGGGGUAAUGGCCCACCAAGCCUGCGAUCGGUACGGGCAGUGGGAGCUGUAGCCCGGAGUUGGGGACUGAGACAAGGCCCCAGGCCCUACGGGGCGCAGCAGGCGCGAAACCUCUGCAAUGCGGGAAACCGUGACAGGGGGAUUCCAAGUGCUCAUGCAUUGCAUGGGCUGUUCUUUGGUCUAAGUAACCAGAGGAGUAAGGGCUGGGCAAGACCGGUGCCAGCCGCCGCGGUAAUA